CCUACGGUGCGCAGCAGUGAGGAAUAUUGGUCAAUGGGCGGGAGCCUGAACCAGCCAAGUCGCGUGAGGGAAGACGGUCCUAUGGAUUGUAAACCUCUUUAGGCGGGGAGCAAUGCCGGGCACGCGUGCCCGGAGGGAGAGUACCCGCAGAAUAAGCAUCGGCUAACUCCGUGCCAGCAGCCGCGGUAAUACGGAGGAUGCGAGCGUUAUCCGGAUUUAUUGGGUUUAAGGGGUGAGUGGGCGGAUUUUUAAGUCAGCGGUAAAAUGUCCGGGCUCAACCCGGGCCGGACAUUGAAACUGGGGAUCUUGAGUGGGCGAGAAGUAUGCGGAAUGCGUGGUGUAGCGGUGAAAUGCAUAGAGAUCACGAAGAACUCCGAUUGCGAAGGCAGCUUACUAAACUGCCACUGACAUUGAUGCUCGAAAGUGUGGGUAUCAAACAGGAUUAGAUACCCGUGUAGUC
rnacentral:rRNA from 1 species